CAGUGAAGGUGUUGGCGUCACAGAUUUGAUAUCUUAGUUAAGGCACUGCUAAUGUGUAUUCGUCAAAGGUGGCUGACCUUAAAUCAUUCAAUUUAAAAGUGAAGUCACUGAACAGGACUUUUUCGAAACCAAUCACAAACUAAUUUUCAAAUAGAGCAGGUCAUGUCACUUUCCUAAUUUGCAAACUGUAUUUAGAAAUUGACGAAUUUUAUGUGAACUGAUCUCAAACUUAAUUUUUUUUUGCAGUGAAGGUGUUGGUGUUACAGAUCUCUGAUCCUAGAUGACACAAACCUAAACUUGGGCCCCAAGAUAGUAUACAGUUCAUAUGUUUCUACUGCUAGUGAAUCUAUUGGUUUAUACAACCUGAAGUAUUGACUGAUCCUAAAGUAUACUUCGUAACCA